AACGCACCUUGCGCUCCUUGGUAUUCCGAGGAGCAUGCCUGUUUGAGUGUCAUUAAAUUCUCAACUCCGAUCGAUUUGUUUCGACUUCGGAGCUUGGAUUUGGAGCGUGCUGGCGUCGGUCGGCUCCUCUUAAACGCAUCAGCGGAAUCUAACGUUUUGGAUGUCAGUGUGAUAAUCAUGUUGCGCUGUCCUCCGAUCCGAAAGCCCGCUCACAAUGGUCUUCGGACGACUUCAUAUCAAAUUUGACCUCAAAUCAGGUAGGACUACCCGCUGAACUUAA
rnacentral:misc_RNA from 1 species